CCCAUUGUAGGGAGUACCCCACUUGGAAACCUGCUAUUGUCUGCUGCAACGUAUUUUACCGGUGGAUCUUUUAAACAACUAGAGAAGAUUUUCAAGGCCAUGAAGCUCCAGAUGAUGCAUUUCGUAACUUUUAGGAUUCAUGCCAGGAAUUUCAUUGAGCCUACCAUAAUACACAAGUGGAACCAAGAUCAACUGAAUCUUAUAAGACAGCUGCAAGAGGGAGGAAAUGUUGCUGUGGCUGGAGAUAUGCGUGCUGACACGCCAGGACACUCAGCAAAAUUUGGCAGCUACACCAUUAUGCACAUGGAAACCAACAAAAUUCUGCAUC